UAUUUUUUAAAAGAUUUUAUUUAUUUAUUUGAGAGAGUGAGAAGAGAGAGAGCACAAGCAGGGAGAGCAGCAGAGGGAGAAGCAGACACCCCACUGAGCAAGAAGCCCAAUGCGGGGCUUGACCCCAGGACCCUGGGAUCAUGACCUGAGCUGAAGGCAGAUGCUUAACUGACUGAGCCACCCAGGCGCCCCUUGUUAGUCAUUUGUCUGAGAAGAAAGUUCAUCAUUGUCUUAAGGGGUUUCUGUAAUGGCCUUAGAAGUUAAGAACACUUUAAGGGGCAUGGACUCCUUUGAGAAAACCACAACUGAACUCCUUGGGGUGUCAUAUUACUGUCCUCCUAGUAAAUAGCAGUGCAGACUCAUAGCAGAUGCCCCCAAAACCAGUUACUGAAUGAGUGAAUGAAUGAAUGAAUAAGGAGUGAAUAGAUUGAUGGACUGAUAAAUGAACCCAUCUCCUCCAUUUAAUUCCAGUGCUCUUUUGACCAAGUCACAAAUGCGAGAAGUUAACCCUGGCCUGACAAGGGCGGAGGACCUUGGAUUUCUCGCCUGACUGCCCUGCCUUCCCAGGAUGACCUCUCAGACGGGCUGCAUGUAAGUGCUUUCUGGGUUAGGCAAACCUUGAGAAGCAAUCUCUGAGCCUUCUGUGGGACCAGCCCGUCCACUGACCUGAAGAUAGUCCCAUUGUAUGUAAAAGACCCAAGCUUUCCCUGUCGGACUCCACCCAACCUCUUGCUCAGCUCCUGUCCUUGGCAUCACAGCUCAGGCCAGGAUACAGACUGGGACAGGAGCCAGAGAGAGCUCCAGCAAUCCACUGCUAUCCCUCUCUCUUCCGCCUCCUGAAACUGGAUUAUUUAGAAGCAAAUCACCAUCAUUUUCUCAUUCCAAACUGAAGUACUUCAGUAUAUACCUCUAAAAAAAAAAAAAGAAAAAGACUAAAAGGAAGACUUCUGAUAAUUUACAAAUCUUCAUCUUCAUCUGUCACUGACUUUGAAUGAAGAACCCUGAGCCCUGGACCUACUUUUGCCAAUCACCAGCUGUAUGACCAGCAGCAAGUCGUGUACUUUUCUGGGCUUGCAGUUUUCCCAGCUGACUGGGCGAAGGAGGU
rnacentral:lncRNA from 1 species